UACGUAGGGUGCAAGCGUUGUCCGGAAUUAUUGGGCGUAAAGAGCUCGUAGGCGGUCUGUCGCGUCUGCUGUGAAAACUCGGGGCUUAGCCCCGGGCCUGCAGUGGGUACGGGCAGACUAGAGUGCGGUAGGGGAGACUGGAAUUCCUGGUGUAGCGGUGAAAUGCGCAGAUAUCAGGAGGAACACCGGUGGCGAAGGCGGGUCUCUGGGCAGUAACUGACGCUGAGGAGCGAAAGCGUGGGGAGCGAACAGG
rnacentral:rRNA from 1 species